GAUGAACGCUGGCGGCGUGCCUAAUACAUGCAAGUCGAGCGAACGGACGAGAAGCUUGCUUCUCUGAUGUUAGCGGCGGACGGGUGAGUAACACGUGGAUAACCUACCUAUAAGACUGGGAUAACUUCGGGAAACCGGAGCUAAUACCGGAUGAUAUUUUGAACCGCAUGGUUCAAAAGUGAAAGACGGUCUUGCUGUCCCUUAUAGAUGGAUCCGCGCUGCAUUAGCUAGUUGGUAAGGUAACGGCUUACCAAGGCAACGAUGCAUAGCCGACCUGAGAGGGUGAUCGGCCACACUGGCACUGAGACACGGUCCAGACUCCUACGGGAGGCAGCAGUAGGGAAUCUUCCGCCAUGGGCGCAAGCCUGACGGAGCCACGCCGCGUGAGUGAUGAAGGUCUUCGGAUCGUAAAACUCUGUUAUUAGGGAAGAACAUAUGUGUAAGUAACUGUGCACAUCUUGACGGUACCUAAUCAGAAAGCCACGGCUAACUACGUG
rnacentral:rRNA from 1 species